UAGAUUCUGCUCGGGCUGUUGUGAUUAGUGGAUAUAGUAGUAGGUAUUCAGACCAUCCCAAAUGUCUCACUCAGUGACCCACUAUUUUCCAUCACAAUCGCAUCUAACAGGACAAUCUAAUCUUUUGUCAUCUUUUUUGGAUGUAUGUCAUAUAAAAUGCCAUCUUAAUGACUCAACUGGCAGUAAAGACGAUAAAAGAUUAAAUGUCUCUAUAUCAGUUUGUGUCCUAACCCUAGCCAUCCGACGUUUGGCGUCUGUGCUACUCGUGAGUCAUUGGCUCGUCGUUGUAUCUGUAGUGGUUGCCGUCCAUCUUCUCCAUGGCACCAUGACCAAUGGACACCCGCGCCAGCGUCCAGGCUCUAGAUCGACAAGGAGAAGUGGCUAAUCAGCAAGGUUGCCCUCUAGAUCGACAGGUAGAAGUGGCUAAUCAGCCAGGUUCCCACUGCAAGAUACCAACCGUCUAUCGUCAAGAGGCCACUAAUGUUACAGUUG
rnacentral:lncRNA from 1 species